rnacentral:rRNA from 1 species
ACGGAGGGUGCGAGCGUUAAUCGGAAUUACUGGGCGUAAAGCGUACGCAGGCGGUUUGGUAAGCGAGGUGUGAAAACCCCGGGCUCAACCUGGGAACUGCAUUUUGGACUGGCUAACUAGAGUGUGAUAGAGGGGGGUAGAAUUUCACGUGUAGCGGUGAAAUGCGUAGAGAUGUGGAGGAACACCGAUGGCGAAGGCAGCCACCUGGGACAUGACUGACGCUCAGGUACGAAAGCGUGGGGAGCAAACAG